GUGUAACCGAAUCACUACAGCAGAAAGUGAAGAGAAAAGCGUGGGGCAGAAGCGGAAACGAACGACAAGGCAACAUGGUGGUUCAGUGUGCAUUUAGCAAUUGUACAAAUAAACGCUACAGAUGGGCAAAUUGGGCACCAUAAAGUUUCCACCGAUUUCCAGUGCGAGAUCCAGAAAGGACUCAACUGUGGCUGGUUGUUGCUGGCUUGGACAUCAAAACAACGGCGGAAACUGUUCGCAAAUGGAACAUUUGUAGCGAACAUUUCAUACCGGACGACUUCGAGAAACCCUGCAAUCGGAAGAGCAAGACAUUACUGAAAACGAAUGCGGUGACAUAUCCGUCUUACAGCGACAGUAGGGGAACCAGGAGUCGCCUCCCCCCCCCCACUCCAGAGACGGGCGCUCAGACGGCAGGGGAGAGGGCGCUGGCGGUGCGGGUGGCCUGGCCACCUCCAGUGGGAGUGCCCUAUGAUGGAGAGCUGCCCCUGGCCUGGGAUUCGCCAGCUAUCGCCAUUAAUAUAAAGGUAAGACAAGUUACUCCCCAACCCCCGCCCCAACAGAGGCUGCCAGCAGUGGAGGAUCAGGGAAAGGAGGGAUGUGUGGAGAAUUUUUUUGCUCCACUUACAAAGAAAUAAAUAAUACAGUGGAUAUCACUUACAUUUGUCCAAAAUAUGCCACAAUUAUCUCAAUAAAAUAUGAAUCCAUCUAUAAUGCAUGACAGAA
ensembl:lncRNA